rnacentral:rRNA from 1 species
UACGGGGGGAGCAAGCGUUGUUCGGAUUCAGUGGGCGUAAAGGGUGCGUAGGCGGUUGGGUAAGCCCUCCGUGAAAUCUCCAGGCUUAACCUGGAAAGUGCAGAGGGGACUGCUCGGCUAGAGGAUGGGAGAGGAGCGCGGAAUUCCCGGUGUAGCGGUGAAAUGCGUAGAGAUCGGGAGGAAGGCCGGUGGCGAAGGCGGCGCUCUGGAACAUUUCUGACGCUGAGGCUCGAAAGCGUGGGGAGCAAACAGGAUUAGAUACCCUGGUAGUCCACGCCUUAAACGAUGGAUACUAAGUGUCGGCGGGUUACCGCCGGUGCCGCAGCUAACGCAGUAAGUAUCCCGCCUGGGAAGUACGGCCGCAAGGUUGAAACUUAAAGGAAUUGACGG